rnacentral:misc_RNA from 1 species
GAUGAAGAACGUAGCGAAAUGCGAUAAGUAAUGUGAAUUGCUGAAUUCAGUGAAUCAUCGAAUCUUUGAACGCACAUUGCGCCCCUUGGUAUUCCGAGGGGCAUGCCUGCUCGAGCGUCAUUAUAACCCCUCAAGCUCAGCUUGGUGUUGGGGCCUGCUGCACUGGCAGCCCUUAAAAUCAGUGGCGGCGCCAUCUGGCUCUAAGCGUAGUAAUUCUUCUCGCUAUGGAGUCCUGGUGGAUGCUUGCCAUCAACCCCCAAUUUUUCUAUGGUUGACCUCGGAUCAGGUAGGGAUACCCGCUGAACUUAAGCAUAUCAAUAAGCGGAGGA